AUUGAACGCUGGCGGCAUGACUUACACAUGCAAGUCGAACGGCAGCACGGGUGCUUGCACCUGGUGGCGAGUGGCGAACGGGUGAGUAAUAUAUCGGAACGUACCUUAUUGUGGGGGAUAACGCAGCGAAAGCUGUGCUAAUACCGCAUAAUCCCUAAGGGGGAAAGCGGGGGACCGUAAGGCCUCGCGCAAUUAGAGCGGCCGAUACCUGAUUAGCUAGUUGGUGAGGUAAAGGCUCACCAAGGCAACGAUCAGUAGCUGGUCUGAGAGGACGAUCAGCCACACUGGGACUUAGUGACGGCCCAGACACCUACGUGAGGCAGCAGUGGGGCAUUUUGGACAAUGGGGGCAACCCUGAUCCAGCAAUGCCGCGUGAGGGAAGUAGGCCUUCGGGUUGUAAAGCUCUUUUGUCAGGGAAGAAACAGCAGCUCUAACACAGUUUGCGAAUGACGGUACCUGAAGAAUAAGCACCGGCUAACUACGUGCCAGCCGCCGCAGUAA
rnacentral:rRNA from 1 species